rnacentral:misc_RNA from 1 species
CCAAUAGCGUAUAUUAAAGUUGUUGUGGUUAAAAAGCUCGUAGUUGAACCUUGGGCCUGGCUGGCCGGUCCGCCUCACCGCGUGUACUGGUCCGGCCGGGCCUUUCCCUCUGUGGAACCUCAUGCCCUUCACUGGGUGUGACGGGGAAGCAGGACUUUUACUGUGAAAAAAUUAGAGUGCUCCAAGUAGGCCUAUGCUCGAAUACAUUAGCAUGGAAUAAUAAAAUAGGACGUGCGGUUCUAUUUUGUUGGUUUCUAGGACCGCCGUAAUGAUUAAUAGGGACAGUCGGGGGCAUCAGUAUUAAAUUGUCAGAGGUGAAAUUCUUGGAUUUAUUGAAGACUAACUACUGCGAAAGCAUUUGCCAAGGAUGUUUUCAUUAAUCAGGAACGAAAGUUAGGGGAUCGAAGACGAUCAGAUACCGUCGUAGUCUUAACCAUAAACUAUGCCGACUAGGGAUCGGACGAUGUUAUUUUUUGACUCGUUCGGCACCUUCCG